GCGGGUAUCGUAUAGUGGCUAUUAUGAGUGCUUCCCAAGCACUAGAGGGGAGUUCGAUUCUCCCUACCCGCUCCA
rnacentral:tRNA from 1 species